rnacentral:rRNA from 1 species
AACGAACGCUGGCGGCAGGCCUAACACAUGCAAGUCGAACGCCCUAGCAAUAGGGAGUGGCAGACGGGUGAGUAACACGUGGGAACCUUCCCUAUAGUACGGAAUAGCCCAGGGAAACUUGGAGUAAUACCGUAUACGCCCGAGAGGGGAAAGAUUUAUCGCUAUAGGAUGGGCCCG